rfam:Rhizoctonia solani AG-1 IB, isolate 7/3/14, WGS project CAOJ01000000 data, contig: 06808
GCGUGAAUGGGGUAGUGGUAACCUUAAUCGUUGCCAGUAGCAUUUAAUUCGAUUAGCCAGGGGUUCGAUUCCCCUUUCACGCA